UCGAACGGCAGCACAGGGAGCUUGCUCCCGGGUGGCGAGUGGCGCACGGGUGAGUAAUACAUCGGAACGUGUCCUGUUGUGGGGGAUAACUGCUCGAAAGGGUGGCUAAUACCGCAUGAGACCUGAGGGUGAAAGCGGGGGAUCGCAAGACCUCGCGCAAUUGGAGCGGCCGAUGCCCGAUUAGCUAGUUGGUGAGGUAAAGGCUCACCAAGGCGACGAUCGGUAGCUGGUCUGAGAGGACGACCAGCCACACUGGGACUGAGACACGGCCCAGACUCCUACGGGAGGCAGCAGUGGGGAAUUUUGGACAAUGGGGGCAACCCUGAUCCAGCCAUGCCGCGUGCAGGAUGAAGGCCUUCGGGUUGUAAACUGCUUUUGUCAGGGACGAAAAGGACCGUGUUAAUACCAUGGUCUGCUGACGGUACCUGAAGAAUAAGCACCGGCUAACUACGUGCCAGCAGCCGCGGUAAUACGUAGGGUGCAAGCGUUAAUCGGAAUUACUGGGCGUAAAGCGUGCGCAGGCGGUUCUGUAAGACAGAUGUGAAAUCCCCGGGCUCAACCUGGGAAUUGCAUUUGUGACUGCAGGACUAGAGUUCAUCAGAGGGGGGUGGAAUUCCAAGUGUAGCAGUGAAAUGCGUAGAUAUUUGGAAGAACACCAAUGGCGAAGGCAGCCCCCUGGGAUGCGACUGACGCUCAUGCACGAAAGCGUGAGGAGCAAACAGGAUUAGAUACCCUGGUAGUCCACGCCCUAGACGAUGUCUACUGGUUGUUGGGGUUUUUUAACCU
rnacentral:rRNA from 1 species